CUUAGUGGCGGACGGGUGAGUAACGCGUGGGUAACCUGCCUUACACUGGGGGAUAACACUUAGAAAUAGGUGCUAAUACCGCAUAAGCGCACGAAGCCGCAUGGAUUUGUGUGAAAAACUCCGGUGGUGUAAGAUGGACCCGCGUCUGAUUAGCUUGUUGGCGGGGUAACGGCCCACCAAGGCGACGAUCAGUAGCCGGCCUGAGAGGGUGGACGGCCACAUUGGGACUGAGACACGGCCCAAACUCCUACGGAAGGCAGCAG
rnacentral:rRNA from 1 species